rnacentral:rRNA from 1 species
UACGAAGGGUGCAAACGUUGCUCGGAAUCAUUGGGCGUAAAGCGCACGUAGGCGGCUUCGCAAGUCGGAUGUGAAAUCCCUAGGCUCAACCAAGGACGUGCAUCCGAAACUGCGAAGCUUGAGUACAGAAGAGGAUCGCGGAAUUCCCGGUGUAGAGGUGAAAUUCGUAGAUAUCGGGAGGAACACCAGUGGCGAAGGCGGCGAUCUGGGCUGAUACUGACGCUGAGGCGCGAAAGCGUGGGGAGCAAACAGG